rnacentral:lncRNA from 1 species
CUUGAUUGCUUGACUGGAGUGGUAUGGAAGAGCUCUUCAGAGGAUAUAACUGAAAGGACAGCCACGUCAUUUACAAUUAACGAUAGCCACAAAAACAUGCACUGCCUAGUCAUGUCUUGACAAUCGACUCUGUCACCUACAGAUAUUAUGCGUUUUGAUUGACCACAACAGUGGCUGAAACACACAUAUUAGAAUUUAGGGCGCUCUCUGUCGGUUUCAGUUGGGUGUAGCUCUCGGCUGUCAAUGCACCUGCGUCAGGUAAGGUUUCGUUAUCGGGCCGGCUCCAAAACAUUAGGAAGUAGGCUGCUGUAUUUUAUCAUCUUCCAGAUUCUUUAAAACUUAAUCUGUUAUAGAGACCCGCUACCGUAUAAGUCUAUGGGCUGCACAGGGAAUCAUAACAAUAGAGAGAGUGAAGUCACUGAGGCUACUUCCGAUCAUCACAGCAUUGCCUGAUCUGUCCAGAAGUUGAGAGCAUCUGUGGAUGUGGAUGGACGGAUACAUUUCAAUUUCCUCCAUUAUCUGAUCCUUGUCCAAAAACAGACUCUUAUUCGUUCAAUGGAGGAAUCAUUUGUUUUUGCUUGCGGGGAUUUUGAAGACUGGUCUGUCCAAACAGCUUAGGAAGAGAAUGACCCCAAGGUGGACAGUGUACUUGGGGACUGGACAGUGUACUUGGGGACUGGAGUUUACCAUGUUCUUCACCCAUGAAAAUAAACAUCUCUAAUCUCUCAACAAAGAUGAGAGUGCACCCAUCUUUUUGUUCAUUCAAAGUUUACCCAGUUAAGAGGAAAUGAUUACAUGUAAGUCUAUUGUAAUUGUAAAGGUCAACAGUGAAGAGGCGACUCCAGGAUGCCUUCCAGGCAGAGUUCCUCUGUCCAGUGUCUGUGUUUUUUGCCCAUCUUAAUCUUUUAUUUUUUAUUGGCCAGUCUGAGAUAUGUUUUUUUUUUUUGCAACUCUGCCUAGAAGGCCAGCAUCCCGGAGUCGCCUCUUCUCUGUUGACGUUGAGACUGGUGUUUUGCGGGUACUAUUUAAUGAAGCUGCCAGUUGAGGACUUGUGAGGCGUCUGUUUCUCAAACUAGACACUCUAAUGUACUUGUCCUCUUGCUCAGUUGUGCGGCGGGGCCUCCCACUCCUCUUUCUAUUCUGGUUAGAGCCAGUUUGCCCUGUUCUGUGAAGGGAGUAGUACACAGCGUUGUACGAGAUCUUCAGUUUCUUGGCAAUUUCUCGCAUGGAAUAGCCUUCAUUUCUCAGAACAAGAAUAGACUGACGAGUUUCAGAAGAAAGUUAUUUGUUUCUGGCCAUUUUGAGCAUGUAAACAAACCCACAAAUGCUGAUGAUCCAGAAACUCAACUAGUCUAAAGAAGGCCAGUUUUAUUGCUUCUUUAAUCAGGGCAACAGUUUUCAGCUGUGCUAACAUAAUUGCAAAAGGGUUUUCUAAUGAUCAAUUAGCCUUUAAAAUGAUCAACUUGGAUUAGUGUAACCGAUGUGAAAUGGCUAGUUAGUUAGCGGUGGUGUGCGCAAAUAGCGUUUCAAUCGGGUGACAUCACUCG